GAUGAUGUCUGGGACCCCACAUCGAGGGGUGGUCAUUUUCGAUACCGUCGUGGCAUCUAAUGUGCCCGUGGGGUUAAUAUGGUAAUUUCGCUGGUAGGUUUUGAUGGCGGACUCUAAGGUUUCGUCGAAAUCGUCGUUGUUGGCGUGGGUUUCAUUUGGGUAUUGGAGAUAGCCAAAUUGAUGGAGGUAGUUUUUGAGGUGGUGGAUAUCUUUGGUUUUGUUACCCUUGUGACAACCUUGUAGGGUUUUGAUGAACUCAAAUGGUGAUGGUUUUUGUUCACUUGGUGUAUCCCUCUUGGCUUGGCCAAUAGGAGAGAGGGAAAUUAUGGCAAAAAUGAAGAUGAAUGAUAGGAGAUUAAAUUGUUUAAGUGCCAUAAUUAAGUAUUCAAGAAGAUAUACUCAAAGAAUUGAAUAAGAAGUUUGUGUAUAACAUAUUGCUAUGUAGUAUGUCUAUUUAUAUAUACACAUUUGUAUGUGGAAAAAUGAUGCAUAAAUAUUAGAGAUGACUCAUAGUAGAAGUCUGUUUUAUGUUUCACUAGAAUACAUUGCCUUGCAUUUAGAAGACCAAUGACUAUAUUGUGGAAAUUUGCGUCCAUAUGUAUAAAUUUUCCACAUUUGGAAUGUGGAAAUAAAUUGUGUUUAUUUUCCACGAAUAAUUGACGGGUUUGGAAUUUUUAGGAAACUAUAUUGUGACCAAUGACUUGGAAAAUUGGGAGGAAAUUGAACAAAUUGGAAUUAAAUUACCACAUUUGAAAAAAAAAAAAAAUCUUUUUUUCUUUUGGAAAUUGAAAAAUAAUGUUAUUGGUCCAAUAUCCCAAGUAAAAUUAAAAAAAAAAAAACUCUUUCAUAACAAUAAGUAAGUAUAUAAAUGCAAACAACUCUCGUGUCCUAUGCAAUCAAAAGUAAAGUACAACGGCAUUCUGCCAACGAUCGUUAUGUCGAGUUUGUAAUACAUGGUUAGUUUAGUGUGAUUUACUUAUCUUGUAUGCAUAGUUUGCAAGUUAUUAUAUCAUAGUGUAAGUUUACCUAGUGCACCUAUAUAAUUGGCUGCAGGUUCUUUCAUAUCAAAAAAGAAAAAGAAAAAAGUAAAAUGGCAGUGUACUCAUUUUCAAAUUUACAUUAACAAAGUAACGAUUUUGUAGAUGUUGCGUUCGAUGAAAUAUAUCUGGUGAUUCGACGGCAUUGAUCUAUAUAUAAUAACACACAGGCGCCUAUGCGUAUGUGUGGCUUAGCGGAUGGUUAUUUAUAUAGAUCUAUGAUCUAAAAUCACCUAAUAUAUUUCACCAAGUAUAGCAUUUUAUAAAUCAAAAACGACGAUCGUUACCCAGUAAUAUUGUGUGGGGGUUAUUUAUCUAAAUUAGGGUAUUAAUCUUUUAAAUAAAUAUUAUGGAUUCUAGUAAAAAAUAAAUUAUAAAAUGACUAAAAUAUUCCUCUUACUAAUUUUUUUACCAUUAAUUAUCUACUUAACAAAUUAGUACUAAUAAUAGCAAAUUAAAAUAAUUUUUUUUUCCAAAACGAUAAAUAAUUUCAUAAAAUGAUUAUUUAUUUACCAAAAAAGAAAGUUAGUUCUAUUAUGAUUGGACCGAAUAUUCCUCAAUAUUUCAGCGGUAGUUUGGUCUUUCUGGCAACGAGGGUGAUUAAUUCGCUAAUACGUACUACUAGGGGUAAUAUGCUAUCCCUUAAAUCCAUCAUAAUUUGAACUAAAUGAUAAGUUUAAAUCCAAUAUUUUAUUUAAAUCUUUAGUUUGAAAUAAUAUCAAAUCCUUAAAUUUUCUUUUAUUCCUAUGUUGCCCUUAUUUAAAUCAUAUAACUUCACGUAUCUCAAUCCAGAUUUAUUUAUUUUCUUUAAUCUUCUCUCUCGCCUUUUAUUCUCUCUCUCUCUCUCUCUCUCUCUCUCUAUAUGUCAAUUUCCUCUUUUUUUUUUUUUUUUUCUCUCUCACCUCUCUAUCUCUAUCUCGCUCUCUCCGGUAAGCACAAAGGCCGGGGCCGACGGCGGAGGGAAUAGGAGCGGGGCCAACUGGGGAAGUGGUGGUGGAGGAGGCGGCGGCGGCGGCAGCUGGGUGGCGGAGGAAGCAGGGUUCUUUUUUUUUUUCUUCUUUAUAUAUAUAUAUAUAUAUAUAUAUAUAUAUAUAUAUAUAUAUAUAUAUAUAUAUAUAUAUAUAUAUAUAUAUAUAUAUAUAUAUAUAUAUAUAUAUAUUUUCAAUGUUAUGUAAGGAAAAAAUAAAGUUUUUUUUUAUAUAUAAUAGUGCAUAAAAUGCUAAAAUCACGAAAGAAAAAAAAAAGACAAACGAGUAUUCUGUAAAAAAUAUUAAAAAACGUAAAUUGGAAAAAUGAAAAACAUAGAAAAAUGAUAAAUGCAGUUUGAUUUUACUUAAUGCAAAUUUUGAAUUUUGUACUGGAGGGGCAUUUUUGGAAUAAAUUUUAUGAAAAAUGUGAAACAAAUGUUUAGUUGGACUUGUCAUUUAGUUCUAAUAAAUUUUGUCAAGAGGGAGCCCCUGUGUACUAAUUAGUUUGCAUAAUAAUAUCUAUCUAUCUGGAAAAAUCAUUUUGGCGGUCACCGGCGCCGAACUUAAUGGCAGAUCAACUGUGAGCCGCCGCCGAAUUAGAGCCCACGAUCCAAUUUGUUAGAUCCGAUAUACGUAAUCCAGAUUCCACCACCGCUCUCGUUUCUUCUUCAAUCUCGAAAAUUCCGACGGCGAAAAGAGUCAACCAUGGGAUUGUUCACCUACACAGUAGCCGGCGGCGCUCUAAUUCUACUCGGCGCGUGGGAAUCGGUCAUCUCCGCCUCCGAAUCCCUCAAACAAACCCCACCGCCACACUCGCCGCAAAAUAGUAAACAAUCCACGCCGCCGGGAACAGCCUCAUUUUCGUCGACAGUGACGUUUCUGCUGAUCUCCGUUCUGUCCGUACUCUUCGUCGUGAACUCAUUCAUCUCUUUAUCCGACGUCGUCGCCUCCGACGAUGACGUCGGUUUCGCCCUACAGUUGGAGGUAAUUGCAAUCGGCUUCCUUUUCACAGGCAAAAGGUAGCACUCUUUUUGUAAUAGGUUUCUUAAUUUGUAAGUUUAAGGCAUUAUGCUAGAAAGAUGAUAUAAGAAACAAAGGGUUUGGUAUAGGGUUUCUUUUGGCCUUCUUGAAAUGUGUAUAUAGAACUCCAUGGGAAAACUCAUGUAAAUGUAUUUUCAACAACCUAUAAUUUCUUGUUUAUUUGAAGUUGAUUUUAUGUUUUCAGAAGUCAAAAUUUUAGUUGAUUCCAUUAAAUUAUCAUUUCUUGUUUAUUUGAAGUUGAUUUUUUGUUUUCAAAAGUUACAAAUUUAAGUUAAUUCCAUUAAAUUAAAUUUUUUCUGUGUUGAUUUUGUGGAUUUGAACAGUGGCGAAGCCAGAAUUUUAUGUUUCACGUUAAAAAAAGACCUAGUUUCUUCUAUAAUUUUGAUUUUUUUAAUUUCGAGGGCUUAUAAGUUUAUGUGGUAUUUGAUAAUAUAGAUGUCUACAAACAAAAGAAAAUAGACCACUAGUGCAAUUGGAAUCACUAUAGUUAUAUUUAAAAUAUUAGAAUUUAUCUAGUUUUAUUUUUACGAUUUUAUGAAAGUGAGUGUCCUUAUUUUAAAAUUUCCAUUGCUUUUGGAACUGGAAUAAAUUUUGUACUUUCAAAAAAUUUUUUUUUUUUUUUCGAAAAGAUUAAUUUCGAUCCAUUUUAUCUGACUUUCAAUCUUGAUGCCAAGAUAUAGGAUAAAACUACAAGAAAAUAAGCACAAAAGGAAACAUGUUUAUUUAAGGUUUCAGACCCGUCACACAUUCUAGGAUACAAGCUUGAAAUACAGAAAUAUGAAACAUAAAUUACCGUACAAUUUAUGUGUUUUAUUCUUACAAAGGGAAAUCUGGUGUGAGAGAGAGAGGGAGAGAGAGAGAGAGAGAGAGAGAGAGAGAGAGAGAGAGAGAGAGAGAGAGAGAGAGAGAGAGAGAGAGAGAGAGAGAGAGAGAGAUAGAGAGACAGAGAGAGAGAGAGAGAUAAAAACAGGUCUUUUAUUCAGUCACGCGCCAAGCCACGUUGAAGCAAUAUUUCACACGUUAUAUAAAGCUCUGAUUCCCUGGAUAUCAUCUGCAUUCAAACCCUUGGUCCUUCCAGACGAAAGUCGAGGGUACAUAAUCGCAGCCUCGACCGAGCUAUGACCUAGCCCUAGAAGGUGCCCGAUUUCAUGCAAUGCCACCGUUUCCAGGUCGAAAGCAUUCGGCACUGGCCCAAUGGACCACCGCUCGUCCGCAUCGUAAUGGAACCUCCCGUUGGUCGGAGCGAACGCAUGGGCUAGGGUUCCGCCAGGUCCGUCGAACGGGGCCCCAUCUCCGUGGUUCCGACGAUGAAACCCUAUCACCAUAUCAGCACUCCGACCGCUCGGGGCCUGCGAAAAGGUGAAGUGAGUGGCGGCGUCCCAUCUCUGGAAGGCCCGUACGACGGGGGCCACCGCCCCCGCGGGGGUGUUGGGAGAAAACCCGAACGUCAGAUGAGUUCUGGAAGGCGGCCAUCUGAGGUUUCCCGGAAAGAAACUGUAGUGAGACACUGUAUGGAUAUGGCCGCUCGAGCCCGAUUCGUGUUUUUUCGUACCGGACUUCUGCAUGGUGUUAUCGCCGUUGAUGAUGUCGGCGACCCCACAUCGAGUGGUGGUCAUUGUAGAUACCGUUAUGGCAUCUAGUGUGCCAGUGGGGUUAAUAUGGUAAUUACGCUGGUAGGUUUUGACGGCGGAUUCUAGGGUUUCGUCGAAGUCGUCAUUGUAAUUGGCGUGGGUUCGAUUUGGGUAUUGGAGAUAGCCAAAUUGAUGUAGGUAGUUUUUAAGAUUGUGGAUUUCUUUGGUUUUGUUGCCCUUGUGACAACCUUGUAGGGUUUUGAUGAAUUCAAAUGGUGCUUGUUUUUGUUCACUUGGUGUAUUCCUCUUGGCUUGGCCAAUAGGAGAGAGGGAAAUUAGGGCAAGAAUGAAGAUUGAUAAAAGGUGAGAAGUAGCCAUUGUUGAGUGUCAAGAAUAUUAAGAUAUUGCUUUUGCUCUAUAGAAUAAUGUUUAUUUACAUGUCUAUUUAUAGAGAUUCAUUUGUAUUGAUUUUGAUUUUUAUUUUUUUAAAAGAGUGCCAUAAUUUGUACUAGGUGUCUAUUUUAUGAAUUUUAACUAGAAAUAAAGAAAGAAAGAAAGAAAUAAAUAUAUAAUACAAGAUUACAAGUUGUUGACUUGGAUGACCAAAAUACCAGGUCCAUGCAUGACAAUUGACUUUCUUUAUUCCAUUUUAAAUAUAGAAAUAGAAUGUUGGUUUCAUUUUCCUUGGAAAAAUAAGAUGAUUUAAAAAAAAAAGGGUAAAUUACAAACACCCCUGAGGUAUGGUCAAAUUACAAAAACACCCCUCUUGUUUGGAUAAUUACAACCACCCCCUCAACUCCUCAAAUUUAGUGGAAUCUUCGAGAUUAUAUGGAAUAUUAUCACUUUUGUACACGUUUUAUCCCAUUCAAACUCUACAUUAUGAAGCAAGAUGAUCAUAAUAUGUGAUUUUUAGCUUGUAUAUAUCAGUUUGUGGUGCAUCGGAAACUGCAUUUUUACACAAAACGAGUACAAACUAGAGCACAUUCCACGGAAUCUAGAUGAUUAUGUUGAAUUGGGCACCAUACGGGUGGAGGUGUAAGAAAAAAUCAUAGUUGAGGGGGGUAUUUGUAAUUAUCCAAACAAGAGGGGUGUUUUUGUAAUUUGACCAUACCUCAGGGGGGUGUUUGUAAUUUACCCUAAAAAAAAAUCUUCUUCAUUAGAAGAGGAAAGAAGAAAGACAUAAUUAAAAUGGGGUUCAAUGUUAAGUCCAAUCAACUAAUUAAUAGGGUUGUCCAGCAAGGGAUGACCUAGCCGUUGGAGCAAGUGAGUGUGAUUGAAUUGACCCAGGUUCGAAUUUUCUUGCCAACGGUCGCUAGGUCGAGCUUGCGACACAUGGUUAGUCUAGUGUGGUUUACGUCUCUCUUAUGAUUUACAAACUAUUAUACGAGAGUGUAGGUCUACACAGUGCACCUAUAUAGUCGGUUGCGUAUUCCUUUAUUACCAAAAACAAAUAAAUAUUAAUAUUCAUAUACAAUAUUUUUACUCAUUAUAAAAUAUUAAAAAGGGUGGGGACAUGUACGUACUUUUUUUUUUUUUUUUUUUUUUUUAAAUCUUGUCUUCAACAUCUUAUUACUUUUCAAAAAAACUACGAAACAUUUCUAACAGAGCUUAUAACUUCUUAAAUAUCUUAUUAGCUCUAUUUAACAGCUUAUAAGCUUAUGCAAACACCCUCUAAAUGCCUCUAAAUGCAGAGUUGAAUCAGUCCAAUUUGGAGACAAAGUGGGAAGAAAUCGUGUUGUUCAGUUCAUCUUAUUUUCCAAUCCAAAAUAAGACUUCCCCUCGUCUUUGGUGGUCCUAGCUAACAUAUCUUUAUUUAUUUUAUUUUAUUUAUUUUUAUUUUUUUUAUUUCUAUGUCACGGCACUACUUACAUAAGACUUUUCAUAAAGUCGAGCUCGUCUGUUUUGAAAGGUUCGAGCUCGAACUCGUUUACCACCCCUAAUUUGGGCUGUAUAUAAUUUUUUGAUUUUAUAUUGAUAAAUUAUUUAAUACUUGGAGGUCUAGCUAGAGAUGAUAUAUAUAUAUAUAUAUAUAUAUAUAUAUAUAUAUAUAUAUAUAUAUAUAUAUAUAUAUAUAUAUAUAUAUAUAUAUAUAUAUAUAUAUCCACGUUAAGUAUGGCCAAAUUACGAAAAAAACCCUCUUGUUUGGGUAAUUACAACCAUCUCUCUUCUUUUAAAAAAUUUUUACAUAAAAUUUAUGUAAUUCGGUUAUUUACCGAACCAAAUCGUAUAUUCAUUUCGGUAAACGGUAUGAAAUGUUGGCGUACCAAAAUUUCGGUUCGAUUUUACAGAUUUGACAUUCCUAAAUUUACCUCUAGAAGGGUAUUUUCGUAAAAUAAUACAUAGUUGAGGGGGUGGCAGUAAUUACCCAAACAUGAGGGUAUUUUUCGUAAUUUGACCAUAACUCAGGGGUAGCCGUAAUAUGCCCCAUAUAUAUAUAUUGCACAUUUGCCCCCAAUAAAGAACUUAGAUAAUAAAAAGUACUUGCCUCUAUAAUGGUUCAAUUGAGAAGGAAAAAUAUCAAAUUGACUGUAAGUUUGAUGCUUCAUCUCUUCCUGGAGCUACUCAAAAGUCACUAUUUAGGUGCCAUGUUUGGGGUAACCUCAAAAAAUGUCAAUAAUUUAAAUCGGAGAAACAAGAAAAAAAAAAACAAUAAUAGCAAUAAUUUAUGAUGGGAAUUUAAAUCGGAAAUAUAAGUCUAUAACACUCUAUUUAUGAAAAAAAAUACAUUCUCUAUAAAUUUUCUAUUACAGCUUGCAAUUAAUUAGUCAAAUGUAUAAAAUAAAACAAGAAAAUAAAAGGAAUGCAAAAGUAAUUUGAUCACUAGAAUAAGAACAAAAAUAAAUUAAACUUUUUUUUUUUUGAGAACAAAAAUAAAUUAAACUACUUAUAUGGAAAAAGAUAAUUUCGUAGAAGUGUAGUCAUUAUAAGUAUAGUUUGAUAAAAGGAGUUUAUAAACUGCUAAAAGAAUAUAAGAUUAAUAAUACUUUUGUUUAUGCUCAUAUCUUGUUAAUCUUUUGAGGAUAGAUAUUUAAUAUAAUUUCUAAUUAUAAUCUUUAGGAAAUUUAAUUUUUUUUAACAAACCCCUGAAAACUCACUCUUUAGGGAAUUUAUGUGCUAAAAAUUAAGGCUAAAGUACAAAAAACCCCUGAACUAAGGUCUAAUUACCAAAACCCACCUCAGAAAUUCAUAAUUAGCAAAACACUCUCUGACUAAUCGUUGACCAGAUUUCUUAAAAAGAAAUUGUUGUGUCUUUAAUGCCCCUAAGUUAAAUAAAAUUCAAAAAUCAUAAAAUUCGGUGACAUUUUGAAGACUUUCAAUUGAAUUUUGAAGGAUAUUUCAAUAUUUAUAUUAAAAAAUAUUGCAAUUACCUCUAUGAAGGAAUAAUAUUAUUACAAUUACCUCUAAGGGUAAAAUUGGAAUUUUUGAAAAAUAUUCCUUGAAAUUAGAAAGAUUCCGUCGAAGUUCACAGUAUAAGUGGACAAUGUAAGGCGACAACAAAAUUUCAGACCAAUAGGAAAACAAAAUAAUAAAUAGAAAAAAUAUGUAUGCAUUAAAAUAGAAAAAAUAUGUAUGCAUUAAUAAAUAGAAAACAAAAUAAUAAAUAGAAAAAAUAUGUAUGCAUUAGGAGAGUUGGUACCUAGCCUUUACCAAUAGGGUAACGGUCUAGGGUUCGAGUCCCCCCCCCCCCCCCCCCCUCCUACUUCCCCUUGUAAUGGACUUGAAUUUACUCAAAAAAAAAAAAAAAAAAAUAAAAAAAAAAAUAUGUAUGCAUUAAUAUUUCAUAUUUCAUACCAAUGGGAAAACAAAAACACAAACUAUUAUAAAGUUUAUUUUCUUCAUUAUUAUUAAAAAGGGAAAAAAAUCCUUAAGUAGCACACUAAUACAUUAUUCCGAACAAAAGAAACAUUUUGUUACAUUUAUAGAGAUAGAUGACGUAUUUUUUAAUUCAAUCAAAUUAACCAUGCCCAAUAAUAUUUCAGACAUUGUAUAAAGCUCUAAUUCCUUGAAUAUCAUCUGCAUGCAAAUUCUUGGUCACACCAGCUCCAAUUCCGGAAUACAUAAUUGCAGCCUCGACCGAGCUAUGCCCAAGCCCAAGAAGGUGCCCGAUUUCAUGCAGCGCCACCGUUUCCAAGUCGAAAGCAUCUUGGACUGGCCCAACGGACCACCGUUCGUCCGCAUCGUAAUGGAAUCUCCCAUUGGUCGGAGCAAAAGCAUGGGCUAGGGUUCCGCCACGUCCGUCGAACGGGAAUCCAUCCCCGUGAUCCCCACGGUGAAAUCCUAUCACCAGAUCGGCGGAAUUCUGGGCCCGCGAAAAGGUGAAAUGGGUGGAGGAGGCCCAUUUUUGAAAGGCCCGAGAAACGGGGCCCACUGCUGGCGCGGGAGUGUUGGGCAAAAACCUGUAAGUUAGAUGGGUUUUGGAAGGCGGCCAUCUAGGAUUUCCUUGAAAGAAAGAGUAGUGAGAUACUGUAUGGAUAUGUUUGCUGCUCGAGUUCGAUUCGUGUUCUUUUGUCCCAUGCUUCUGCAUGGUGUUUUUACCGUCGAUGAUGUCGGGGACCCCGCAUCGAGGGGUGGUCAUUUUCGAUACCGUUGUGGCAUCUAAUGUGCCUGUGGGGUUAAUAUGGUAGUUUCGCUGGUAGGUUUUGACGGCGGACUCUAGGGUUUCGUCGAAAUCGUCGUUGUUGGCGUGAGUUUCAUUUGGGUAUUGAAGAUAGCCAAAUUGAUGGAGGUAGUUUUUGAGGUGGUGGAUAUCUUUGCUUUUGUUGCCCUUGUGACAACCUUGUAGGGUUUUGAUGAACUCAAAAGGUGAUGGUUUUUUAUCACUUGGUGUAUCCCUCUUGGAUUGGCCAAUAGGAGAGAGGGAAAUUAGGGCAAGAAUGAAAAUGAAUGAUAGGAGAUUAA
rnacentral:lncRNA from 1 species